rnacentral:rRNA from 1 species
AUACGUAGGGAGCGAGCGUUGUCCGGAAUUACUGGGCGUAAAGGGCGCGUAGGCGGCGCUUCAAGUCGUCUGUCAAAUGGGAGGGCUUAACCCUUUUUCGCAGACGAAACUGGAGAGCUUGAGAAGCAGAGAGGCAAACAGAAUUCCUGGUGUAGCGGUGAAAUGCGUAGAGAUCAGGAAGAAUACCAGUGGCGAAGGCGGUUUGCUGGCUGCAUACUGACGCUGAAGCGCGAAAGCCAGGGGAGCAAACGGGAUUAGAUACCCCGGUAGUCCUGGCAGUAAACGAUGUAUGCUGGGUGUGAGACUAGCGAUAGUUUCGUGCCGAAGUUAACGCGAUAAGCAUACCGCCUGGGGAGUACGGUCGCAAGAUUGAAACUCAAAUGAAUUGACGGGG